CCUAAAAACUAACCUAAACACCUGUUCAUACUCUCAAGCCUCUCUAAUCUCUAUCUCACACCUCUGUCUCACUCUCACAGUGAGAGUCUCACCUCACUCAACUCUCAAGCUCAUGGUGAAGCCUCUGUUCUGCCUCUGAAUCUCUCAAUUUUUUUUCCCUUCUCACGGCCUCUGUUCAGCUUUUCAUCCUCACGGUCACGAUCUGCUAGACUGCUUCUGAUUUUUUUUUUUCUCUCUCUCUCGCGGUCUCACCCUCUCUGCUUCAGUGGCUUCAUCAAUCAUCAGUGGCUUCAUCAAUCAUUAGGAACAUAUCCAUCCCAGGCUACAGACCAUGGGCCUUUCAUGGGUAUGAGGGACCCAUGGCUUCAUGGGAAUGCUAAUGCAAAAGAGGCAAAUGAACUAAAAGUAGAAUGGGGCAAAAGCCCAACAUGAAAGAAAGAAGGAAAAUGGCCUCAAAAACAAGGUGCAAACGACCUUAUAAAAGGGUGCAAGUGAAAAGGUUCUCGAAUGAGACCAGCCCAGCAAAUGGGGGAGCCUAAAUAGGGUUUACCAAGGAAAAGGCCAUGGAAGGCCAAGUUCCCUUAGAGAAAGGAUUGAAAGGGACAAAUGAUCCCACAAAACCUUAAGACCUAGAGGUGAAAACCAACCAGUCCAUGAGGGAGAGGCUUGAGGAACCUCGUCCAAAAAGAAAAAUAAUGGAUAGAGAAAGAUGUCCAACAGACUUUAAAGGUUCACCCAAAUCAAUAAAGGAUCUAUACCAUUUUAGGAAGGAGGCAUGAUACGUAGAGUCCCUAUCAAAGUGAAGAAAUCUUCAAAAUGUCCUUCUCACCAGCCUUGAGAAGAGACCGAUCCUUGUUGACCUUAGCCAAUGCUAGAAUUGGUUGGAAAAAUGUAUCUCCUAUAAGAGGAAAACUACCAAAGGUGCUUUCAGGGACAAGUUCCCAAGAAAGAGAAACAAGAACGAGAAUGGAAAAAAAAUGCCCAAAGCUUCAACACAAGGGCAAGCAGCAAGAUCAAGGCAAAGGAGAAGAUAGUAAUUUUGAGAACCUCUAAGACUAGUAUAAAAGGGCCGGGAGGAAUCAUCCAUGGAAGAAAAACAACAAGUAGAGAAUGAAAGAGAAAUAUUAGAAAGAGUAAAACAUAAAGUAAUAAAGAAAAUUGGAAAUUAUAAUGAGAAUAUAGAACCUAGGUCAAGCUCCCAGAAAGUAGUGGUCCUUUUUUGUAGUAUUUCCUGGGGGCUAUACAUCAAUCCAGGGAUCCAUACUUUGCAAGAUUUGUAGACCUCAAAGUUCACUUAAGUCUGUGAAGUUUGGGGCUUAUGGGUUUUAUACCAUUCCCUCAAAAAAUUUGUAUAUGGGUUAUUUGUCUUAUUAAUAAGA